rnacentral:lncRNA from 1 species
UUAAACUUUUGGUUUGUCAAGGUGGUAUCACCUCCAAAACUAUCAUUAAAAUGUACUAUUUUGAGGUAUCUUAACCAUCACCUAAAUAGGCACCAUGAUGAAAUACAUUUAAAAUCAUCUUUAGGUAGAGAGUGGGUAUUUACGAGGAGGGAGAAAAAUGAAGCAGGAGAAGAGGGAGGAAAAGGAGGAGGAGGACGAGGAGGAGGAGGAGGAGGAGGAAGAGAACAAAGACAGAAAAACACAGAGGGGAGAGGAGAGGAGGAUGCAAAGGAGGGAAGAAGGAGAAGAAGAAGAAGAGGAGGAGUGGGAGGGGGAAGGGAAGGAGAAAAAGAAGAGGGAUUCUGGUAGUCUGAUAAGCAACACGCUUAUCAUAAACACACAUUUUAGUUUUCUUCUGUCCGUAUAAGGUUGAAAGACUCGAAAACACAGUAAGCAUGGAAAACAAUAUGACUGAAAAUGAUUGAUAACUAAAGAAAAUCAAACAUCAAUACUGUAAUGUGCGCAGAAGAAAGGACCAGAAAAUGAGAGAAAUCCAAGAUGAUGAACUACAGUGAAAACUUUCCAAGCCCAGGGUUAUAUAGGCAAAAAAUCCCAUUAUGAGGUGGCUAGGAGGACACAAUAGAUGACAGAAUCUAGAAUGUUUGUUGUCGUCUGAUCUCAUCCACUCUCUUCCUUGGCUUCGUACUGAUAAUGAGAGAAAUCCAGACCAAAGGAUUGGGUCACCCACUGCCAGAGUUUCCAGAUGAGCAAGCUGUCGACUGUGAAAGAUCAGCUUGCUGUGGUCUCUGGCUUUUUGCUUGCUGUGCAUGAAGAUGUCACUGCACAAGGCUUCGCCCGGAGUCUUUCUGGACGCAUUCAAAGACUCCUCUCCUCCCUUCUCCAGGCCUUCUGCCAGCUUCUUUGGCCCCACCACAAGAUCUCGGAGAGCCUCCUUUUCUUCCCGUUGCCUUCACAAUGCCAGCUAUACUUUGCAUACAGGAGUGCGAAGAUCAAGUCGAACAACCUAAGCCAUCCUCGCGUUCCUGGUUACCCAGAGAAAGCGCAGAGCUUUCUGGUUCAGAACUCUUUACUGCACAAAGUAACAGUGGCGUGCGUUUCCAUAGAAGACACAUCGCUAUUUUAUUUCUCUCUCAUUCAGUCAUUAUAUUUUGCAUCCAGAUAAAAUCCACUAAGACAGGUUAGUAUCUCUAGCUAGCUGCUGAGAGAAUGUUUCAGUCAUAAACAUUUUCUACCCAGCAUUCUUUCAUCAUUUCUCUGGACAACCAUGCUCUCCUUUUCUGCUCUAAUGCAUGGGACCUUUCCGUGCUACCACAGUGCUCUGAUCUCACUUUGUUAUCCUAACUUUCUACCCUCCUGGUUCUUUUGCAAUUCUCCUUAGAAGUUACCAUUUAUUUUUUUUUCCACAUCAUUUUUUCUCCCUAAAUCAACAUGCUCGUCUACCUUUUCAUGGUAUCAGUUGCUAUCACACAUAACUUCCACUAUGUGUGUGCCCUCAAAUAUCUUAUGACUUCUCGCUUUGCUUCCUUUUCACUUUCUUAGCCAUAAGUCAGACUUAUAAUACUUUUUUGUGUUUUAAAACGAGACACAGCAAUCUCAAAGUUUCACCAAAACUAAUUCUUCCUUCCUUCCUUAAAAAGGUUGUGUCUCUCAACUUUAUUUAUCCAGCACUAUUUAGACAUUAGCCCAGCCUUUCAUAAGCAUCCAGUCUGGAAGUAAAGGCACAGUGACUCAAAAGAUAGCCACAUGGGAAUGGUAUACAGAUAGUUAUCCAAGGGGAGGGUCCCGUCCAGGACAGCGGCCCCAACAGCAGGCAUCUGACCUUCAUGCAGGGGAGCUCAUUUCAGGUAGCACCAGCAGGAAGUUAGCAAGGACUGUAGCUGGUGUGUCUCGGAAA